UACGUAGGGCGCAAGCGUUGUCCGGAAUUAUUGGGCGUAAAGAGCUCGUAGGUGGCUUGUCACGUCGGGUGUGAAAGCUUGGGGCUUAACUCCAGGUCUGCAUUCGAUACGGGCUGGCUAGAGGUAGGUAGGGGAGAACGGAAUUCCUGGUGUAGCGGUGAAAUGCGCAGAUAUCAGGAGGAACACCGGUGGCGAAGGCGGGUCUCUGGGCAACUACUGACGCUGAGGAGCGAAAGCGUGGGGAGCGAACAGG
rnacentral:rRNA from 1 species